rfam:Oryza glaberrima chromosome 4 Oglab04_0324_26, whole genome shotgun sequence.
AAUAAGUGCAGUUUUAGCACGGUUCAUAUUCAACGUUUGACCGUUCGUCUUAUUUAAAAAAAUUGUAAUUAAUAUUUUUAUUGCUAUUACAUGAUAAAACAUGAGUAGUACUUUAUGUGUGGCUAUUUUUUUAAAUUUUUUUAUAAUUUUUUCAAAUAAGACGUAUAGUCAGAACGCUAAACACGGAUAUCUAUGGCUGCAUUUAUU